GGUGGGGAAGGGAAAAAGCACCUCGUGAUAAGCAAAGACCUUAGCGCUAAAGGAGCGGCCGAUGUCUGAUUAGUUAGUUGGUGGGGUAAAGGCCUACCAAGGCAACGAUCAGUAGCUGGUCUGAGAGGACGAUCAGCCACACUGGGACUGAGACACGGCCCAGACUCCUACGGGAGGCAGCAGUGGGGAAUUUUGGACAAUGGGCGAAAGCCUGAUCCAGCCAUGCCGCGUGAAUGUAGAAGGCCUUCGGGUUGUAAAGUUCUUUUAGUUGGAAAGAAAAAAUUAUGAUGAAUAAUCAUAAUUCAUGACGGUACUGACAGAAAAAGCACCGGCUAACUACGUGCCAGCAGCCGCGGUAAUACGUAGGGUGCAAGCGUUAAUCGGAAUUACUGGGCGUAAAGGGUGUGCAGGCGGCCUUGUAAGUCAGAUGUGAAAGCCCCGGGCUUAACCUGGGAAUUGCGUUUGAAACUACAAAGCUAGAAG
rnacentral:rRNA from 1 species